AUAAAUAAAUUUUUAACACUAGCUUUGGUGGGAACUAAUAAAGCAAGAACUCCCUUACCCAUGCUCUCCACAGGAAGGCAUUAAUCUAUUUAUGAGGGCUGUACUUACUGUAACCCAGACACCCCUCUAGGCACUAUCUUCAAACACCAUCACACUGGGGAUUAAAUUUCAGUGUGGGAUUUGGAGAGGACAAAUAUCCAAACCAUAGCAGUCUUAUAGUCUUUAAAUUAGAAUCAUAUGUGGAGUUUCAAAAAGGUAUUCCUAGGCCUCUCUCAGGUUAGAUUUGAGAACACGGAUCAACAACUUGAAUUUUUAAAACAGCAAAGUCUCAUACUACCUCUACAGAUGAUUCUGAUGCACAAUCUGGGUUAAGAACCACUGUCCUGUAGUCGUGAAGUCGAUAUAUUUUGGUAUUUUCUUUACCUCUUCUCUAAUUAACCAGUCUGAAGGAGUUUGAAUUUUGGGAGUCAUACAUUGUCUAUAAGAGAAACACAUUAACAUGCAUGCACAGAGUCCUUUGUAAUAAUUUGGGAUGAUUGACUAGAUGGCUCCAGGUAGGAGAGUCAGGCUUCAUGCAAGUUAUUCAGUCAUUGCAGUUUUGGAGGACUGACUCUUAACCCCAAUAAGAAAUCACUUGUGCUAUUAUAAAUUUAUAAAGCUAUUGAAAAGAGGUGCCUCCAGUAAAAAAUACAUAUGCCAUAUACGCACAAACAGCAAUAUCAAUCCCUCAUUUAUUUUUGGAGUUAGACCAAAAAUUAAAAGCAAAUUAUUUAAGAUAAAAUUACCAUUAAGGAGUAUAAUACUUUUCAAGGAAUCUUCAUGUCAGCCUCGAUCCCAGACCAAUAGAAUGAAAUAACAGGAAUGUUCAUUUCUCUGCAAAGAGAAAUCCAAAAAUUUGUCCUGUGUGAGAUUUUGCUUUUCCCAUCUUUAUGAAGUAUAUCAGCAGAUACAUAAGAAGCUGCUCAGUUAAGGCUUUUUUUUUUUUUUUUAAAGAGCAAUUGUUAGCAAUGUGGUGCUGAAGUCAAUGAAGGCUUAACUUUGAAGUGUCAGGAAUGAUACUCCCCCUCCCCUUCAUGUUAUUUUUAAGAAUAAGUUUUGUACAUUUCUCCAGGUAUUAAAGUGGAUGUCCACCUUUGCCAGAACCUAAAGGCAGAACCUAAUGGUAAAAUGAAGACAACCUGGUUGGUUCUAACAAUACUCAAAUAUUUUCAUCUAGAGUAAAUAUUUACUGUUGGCUUUGUAUUCCGGGAAUUAGCCCAAGACUAUGCUGCUCAAAUGGGUGCAAAUAGACUCUCAGGUUGCAAUAGCAUAACUAGGGAUAUUUGAAGCAAUAAUUGUUCCAUCUUGGAUUAUCGGUUUUGCUCUUGGAUUUGGUAAAGUUUUUGUUUUUCUACUCAUGCCAGUUGUAUCAAAAUGUUACUAGGUUAAAACAAAUACAAAUAUGUUUAUUCAUUACUGUGUCCCUGUAAUAAUGCCUGGCAUGUAGUAGGCACCUAAUAUUUGUUGAAAGAACGAAUUCUAGAAUAGAGUGCAAAAUUCUAGUGUAUUUCAAGGUAAAGCAUGAGAGUUCAAAGAAAUGUUCUAUUUGCCAUCUACAACUUUGAAUAAUGCUGCUCUGCUUUACUUCAUGCACUUUUGCCAGCAGAGGUGGAUGCCUUAGGGAAAAAAAUUGGAUAAAUGCUGAUCUAAGGCAGCAUAUCUACAUGGUUAUGUGAAUAUUUCCCAGUUGGGGUAAAACUAAGAGGAGUGAUCAAUAGCAUCUUAUCAAUUUAAAGGAUGAUUUCACCAAUUGUACUGUCAUAGUCCAGAGAUAUAUGUGCCAAGAAGCAGAGAUGCACUCUAGGAUUCCAGAAGAAAGAUGAUUUAGGACAUAAGCAUCAGGCAGCAAAAGUUGGAGGCAUUGUAUGAUUGUGUCAAAAUGAGAGUCACAUCAAGAACUGUAGGGACUAAUUCUAGA